AGAGUUUGAUCCUGGCUCAGGAUGAACGCUAGCGGCAGGCCUAAUACAUGCAAGUCGAACGGUUCGCAAGGACAGUGGCAAACGGGUGCGUAACGCGUAAGCAACCUGCCUCAUACUGGGGGAUAGCCCGGCGAAAGCUGGGGUAAACCCGCACGGNUCCCAAGAAGUCACCUGGCUUUCUGGGUAAACAUUUAUGGGUAUGAGAGGGGCUUGCGUCUGAUUAGUUAGUUGGCAGAGUAACGGCCUACCAAGACGAUGAUCAGUAGGGGUUCUGAGAGGAUUGGCCCCCACAUGGGUACUGAGAUACGGACCCAACUCCUACGGGAGGCAGCAGUAGGGAAUAUUGGGCAAUGGAGGCAACUCUGACCCAGCCAUGCCGCGUGCAGGAUGAAGGCGCUCAGCGUUGUAAACUGCUUUUAUUGGUGAAGAACUGUAGAUCUGCGGAUUUAUUUGACGGUAGCCAAGGAAUAAGCGCCGGCUAACUCCGUGCCAGCAGCCGCGGUAAUACGGAGGGUGCAAGCGUUGUCCGGAUUUAUUGGGUUUAAAGGGUGCGUAGGUGGAACUGUAAGUCUGAUUUGAAAGCAAGCGGGCUUAACCGUUUGAUGUGGUUGGAAACUGUGGUUCUUGAAUGGGUUGGCGGUAGCCGGAAUGGGUCAUGUAGCGGUGAAAUGCAUAGAUAUGACCCGGAAC
rnacentral:rRNA from 1 species